rnacentral:lncRNA from 1 species
GUGCCCCAUGGUCCAUCCCACCGAGGAGCUGCAGGGGGACUUCACAACACUCUUUGCUCCCUGUCUGAUCCCUGAUGUGUUGAUAGAAGUCGGUAGACACGGACUUUAUGUGCAUGUUGGGAUGGCGGACACUGAGCUACAAUGUUUUCAAAUGCAGACACGUGGGUGGAACCUGAGUGCUGAGCCCCAGGCUGGAAAGAGGCCAAAGAGGAGGAAUCCAUGAAGCACUGGAAGCAAGAAUGAGGUGUACCUCCAAAAUGACCAACCCCCAAACAAGCAGUAGUUGUCAGUGUGGGUUGUCAAGAGUUACAGCCUCAGCAGGCACUGAAACUCUCCAGUCCCUACAGCAUUACACUGGUAGCCAGGCAGCUACCAGGGAAUCUGUAAUAGGGAUCAAGACCACAGGAAAUGAAUUUCUUCUUCUGUCCUUGUGCAGCUCAACCACCAUUCCCUGGCUUUCCUUACCUUCCACCCAGACCCAGAUGUCUAAUCCAGACAGUAAAACUCAAAAGGAUUUAAACUUGAGUCAGGUAUGUAAGUCCAGAACUCAGGAGGUUAAGACAGUGGGAUGACUGUUAAGUAUGGGACCAAUAUCUAUGAUACAGACUGAACAUCUUGACACCAAACAAACAAACAAAAUUGGUAGGGAACCUCUUAUUACCAACUUACAAGCAAUUCCUCAUGGCUUAUACUUAAAUAAGGAACAAAAGAUGGACAACAGCUUAUUUCAGCUACCUUCUGCAAAUUCCCAUUUCAAAGGGUUUGACAUUUGUUUGUUACUUGUAUGGAAAGAUACUCGCAGAAAAACACCCCGUGAGCCUGAAACUGUAGCCUUAUUGAGUGAUAGGAACCUAACAUGAAGACAGCAGUGUGUGCUCCUAUGAGACACAAACUCCAAAGCUCUGGAAGGUCAGGUCAGUGUUGCAGGAUGUGGAUAGCCUCUGUGGUCUACAUAAACUAGAUGGAAUCUUGCUUCCUAAUCCAGGGCCUGGAAGUCAGUGUAACGUAGUGAGCUGCUUUGUCUUGCCUGCUUCACCUAGAGCCAAAGAGUCCUGAUCUGAAAUUGUCUACACUCCAACUUUUGUCUCUCCCUCUACUAAACAAAAAAUAGAAGUUUUAAUUAGAAUAAUGAUAACUGAAGUUAGGAGACAAAAGGCCAGUAACAGACAUCUCUGUUUCACACAGGAGAACCAAAGUCAUUGUUAAGUCAAU